UCGAAUCCUAGAAAGCAUGACCGUGGACAAGUUGUUAAUUGAGGGAGUCUUGGGAAGCACUUGUGCGUCUCUUGCUGCCUCACUCAUUCGGCACGGGGACUUGCGUUCCAAGCUGAUUGAGACUAAUGUACUCCGGCGCGGAUAGCGCCAAGGAAUCAAAGAGAAGGAACUUGUUUUCAUGGCCCGUUUUCGGAUUGUUGAAAACAUGUGUCUAUUCAGUAUUAAAUCACAACGACUCUCGGCAACGGAUAUCUCGGCUCUCGCAUCGAUGAAGAACGUAGCGAAAUGCGAUACUUGGUGUGAAUUGCAGAAUCCCGUGAACCAUCGAGUCUUUGAACGCAAGUUGCGCCCGAAGCCAUUAGGCCAAGGGCACGCCUGCCUGGGCGUCACGCACUGUGAUGCCCCCCAUCCAAAUUGGAUUGGGGGCGAAGCUUGGCCUACCGUGAGCCCAACUUGCGGAUGGCUUAAAAACGAGCAUCGAGACGAUGAGUCGUCGCGACAAGUGGUGGUUUAAGGACUUCGGCCCUUGGUACUUUGCGUCGCGUCCUCCCGUCAUCGUAUCUCUUAAGUAACCUUGAAGGAGCGCGUUUGCGCUGCCAGCAUCG
rnacentral:misc_RNA from 1 species